CAUUGCUGACUAGUUCCAAACAGGACGAAACAGCUGUCCAGAGC
rnacentral:hammerhead_ribozyme from 1 species